CCUACGGGAGGCAGCAGUGAGGAAUAUUGGUCAAUGGACGCAAGUCUGAACCAGCAACGCCGCGUGAAGGAAGAAGGCUUUCGGGUUGUAAACUUCUUUUCUCAGGGACGAAGAAAGUGACGGUACCUGAGGACUAAGCCACGGCUAACUACGUGCCAGCAGCCGCGGUAAUACGUAGGUGGCAAGCGUUAUCCGGAUUUAUUGGGUGUAAAGGUCGUGUAGGCGGGAGCGCAAGUCAGAUGUGAAAACUCAGGGCUCAACCCUGAGCCUGCAUUUGAAACUGUGUUUCUUGAGUGCUGGAGAGGCAAUCGGAAUUCCGUGUGUAGCGGUGAAAUGCGUAGAUAUACGGAGGAACACCAGUGGCGAAGGCGGAUUGCUGGACAGUAACUGACGCUGAGGCGCGAAAGCGUGGGGAGCAAACAGGAUUAGAUACCCUUGUAGUC
rnacentral:rRNA from 1 species